AUGGUGGCUAACGGCAUUCAGCCCGCCAUCGUCACCUACAAUGUCGUGCUCCAUGUGUACUUCAAGAUUGCCGUUCCGUGGAAGGAUGUGCUGGCACUCGUGGACUCCAUGAAGAACGACGGGAUUCCGCUGGACAGGUAUACAUAUAACACGCUCAUUAGCUGUUGCCGGCGUGGUGCACUCUAUAAGGAGGCAGCGAAAGUGUUCGACGAAAUGAGGGCUGCUGGGUUCGAACCUGACAAGGUCACAUUCAAUUCGCUGCUUGAUGUGUAUGGCAAGGCACGGAUGCAUGAUGAGGCAAUUGGGGUGCUCAAGGAGAUGGAGCUUGGGGGCUGUCCACCCAGUGUGGUAACCUACAACUCGCUAAUUUCGUCCUAUGUAAAGGAUGGGUUGUUGAAAGAGGCAGCAGAGCUCAAAGAGGAGAUGGAGCUUAAGGGAAUUCAGCCGGAUGUCAUUACAUACACGACGCUGAUUUCUGGUCUUGACAGGGCUGGCAAAAUUGAUGCAGCAAUCGGGACGUGUGAUGAAAUGUUGAGGAAUGGAUGUAAGCCAAACUUGUGCACGUACAAUGCAUUGAUCAAGCUGCAUGGGGUGAGGGGAAAGUUCCCAGAGAUGAUGGUUGUCUUUGACGAUCUCAGGUCUGCUGGAUUUGUGCCAGAUGUUGUGACCUGGAACACACUCUUGGCGGUAUUUGGUCAAAAUGGUUUAGAUUCCGAGGUGUCUGGGGUAUUCAAGGAGAUGAAGAAAUCUGGUUAUGUUCCUGAGCGGGACACAUAUGUUUCGCUCAUUAGUUCAUAUAGUCGGUGUGGCUUGUUUGACCAAUCAAUGGAGAUAUACAAGAGGAUGAUUGAAGCCGGUAUAUAUCCUGACAUAUCAACAUAUAACGCUGUUCUAUCUGCACUAGCUCGUGGUGGGUGUUGGGAGCAGGCAGAAAAGUUGUUUGCUGAGAUGGAGAAUCUGGAUUGUAGGCCAGAUGAGCUUAGUUACUCUUCACUGCUUCAUGCAUAUGCUAAUGCAAAAAAGCUGGACAAAAUGAAAGCUUUGUCAGAAGAUAUAUAUGCAGAGAAGAUAGAGUCACACCACGGGCUGGUGAAAACAUUGGUAUUGGUCAACAGCAAAGUUAAUAACUUAUCCGAAACAGAGAAGGCGUUCCUGGAACUUAGGAAGAGGCGGUGCUCUCUGGAUAUUAACGUCCUAAAUGCAAUGAUUUCCGUAUAUGGGAAAAAUAGGAUGGUUAAGAAAGUGGAGGAGAUUCUUUCACUCAUGAAGGGAAGUUGUAUCAACCUCAGCACCGCAACAUACAAUAGCUUGAUGCAUAUGUAUUCUCGAUUAGGUGAUUGUGAAAAGUGCGAAAAUAUCCUCACUGAGAUCAAGUCAAGUGGUGCACGUCCGGAUUGA
rnacentral:rRNA from 1 species